AGANACGCUGGCGGCGUGCUUAACACAUGCAAGUCGAACGGAGCACCCUUGAUUGAGGUUUCGGCCAAAUGAUAGGAAUGCUUAGUGGCGGACUGGUGAGUAACGCGUGAGGAACCUGCCUUUCAGAGGGGGACAACAGUUGGAAACGACUGCUAAUACCGCAUAAGACCACGGAAUCGCAUGGUUCUGAGGUAAAAGAUUUAUCGGUUUGGGGUGGGCUCGCGUCCGAUUAGGUAGUAGGCGGGGUAACGGCCCACCUAGCCAACGAUGGAUAGGGGUUCUGAGAGGAAGGUCCCCCACAUUGGAACUGAGACACGGUCCAAACUCCUACGGGAGGCAGCAGUGAGGAAUAUUGGUCAAUGGACGAGAGUCUGAACCAGCCAAGUAGCGUGAAGGAUGAAGGUCCUACGGAUUGUAAACUUCUUUUAUAAGGGAAUAAACCCUCCCACGUGUGGGAGCUUGUAUGUACCUUAUGAAUAAGCAUCGGCUAACUCCGUG
rnacentral:rRNA from 1 species